rnacentral:misc_RNA from 1 species
UACGAAGGUGGCAAGCGUUACUCGGAAUUACUAGGCGUAAAGGGCAGGUAGGUGGUCCAGUAAGUCUGUUGUGGAAGCUCUCGGCUUAACCGAGAGAGGCCAACGGAAACUACUGGACUUGAGUGUAGGAGAGGGUACUGGAAUUCCCGGUGUAGCGGUGAAAUGCGCAGAGAUCGGGAGGAACACCAAUGGCGAAAGCAGGUACCUGGACUAUUACUGACACUAAGCUGCGAAAGCUAGGGGAGCAAACAGG